UAUCAAAACAUUUAUGAUGACGAAGUGAAGACUGUCGGAGCUAUGUGGAAAAUGGUGGACAAAUGAAUAAUGUAUAUAUGUACCAUUUUAAGAUAUAAACUAUUUUUAUUAUUAUUAUUA